rnacentral:rRNA from 1 species
UCGUAACAAGGUUUCCGUAGGUGAACCUGCGGAAGGAUCAUUACCAAAGACCAACACGAGGAGCAGGAAACGCAGGAAGGCGUGGGGUAGCCCGACUCGAUUGUGCCCCCGGGACAGGCUGGGGCCGUAGACCCAAGGGAGAGAGGUUGAAGCCCCCGCCUAGGCUAACGCCCGACGCGGCCGGAGCGCCCCGCCCGUCCCUCCGCCCCCGGGUGGCCAGUUUCCAAAUGCCCACACCCCCUGCGUACACCACCACUGUUGCUUCCCCGGGGGAUUAACCCACCCCGGGGGAGGUCAGCGAGCAAGCCGCGCAGCCCAACCCAAGGAAGAAGCGACGAGCGAGUAGGCUAAACGAAAAAAGUAAAAGAAAACUUUCAACAACGGAUCUCUUGGUUCCCGCAUCGAUGAAGAACGCAGCGAAAUGCGAUAAGUAAUGUGAAUUGCAGAAUUCAGUGAAUCAUCGAAUCUUUGAACGCACAUUGCGCCCCCUGGCAUUCCGGGGGGCAUGCCUGUUCGAGCGUCUCUGAGACGAAAACCUCGCGCUGAGUGAAGGCGCGGUCUUGGCGGCGGUGGCGUGCCCGACGAGGCGGCCACCGCGCUGGAAUCCAUGGGAGGACGCCUGCCGCGUGGUCGAGCGUGAUAAGUCGCAUGUGCGCCCGCGCGCGGCGAGGCUGCCACCCCUUGCCCGUCGGUCUGGUCGGGGGAGAGCAAGACAUGCAA